rnacentral:misc_RNA from 1 species
ACUCUUCAACCCACUGGUUUCUUGUAGACUAGCUGGUGUUUGGAUUUUGAGCGUUGCUGGUCUUCGGAUGUAGCUCGUUCGUAAUGCAUUAGCAUCUCUAAUUCGAAUUCGGAUUGACUCAGUGUAAUAGACUAUUUGCUGAGGACACUUUUAUUAGUGGCCGAAUAAGAUAAUUGUAGAAGCUUCAAACCUCUAUGGUCAAUUUUAG